GCCCGGGCCGAAAUAGCUCAGUUGGGAGAGCGUUAGACUGAAGAUCUAAAGGUCCCUGGUUCGAUCUCGGCAGAAGCUUGGGCU